rnacentral:rRNA from 1 species
GGGAUCCGAUUUUAGCAUGGAAUAAUAAAAUAGGACUUCGGUUCUAUUUUGUUGGUUUCUAUAACUGAAGUAAUGAUUGAUAGGGAUAGUUGGGGGUGCUAGUAUUGGCCGGCCAGAGGUGAAAUUCUUGGAUUCGGUCAAGACUAACUUAUGCGAAAGCAUUCACCAAGGAUGUCUUCUUUAAUCAAGAACGAAAGUUGGGGGAUCGAAGACGAUCAGAUACCGUCGUAGUCUCAACCAUAAACUAUGCCAACUAGGGAUGGGUGAACGUUGCAUUUUCGACUUCAUCCGCACCUUAUGAGAAAUCAAAGUCUUUGGGUUCCGGGGGGAGUAUGGUCGCAAGGCUGAAACUUAAAGGAAUUGACGGAAGGGCACCACCAGGAGUGGAGCCUGCGGCUUAAUUUGACUCAACACGGGAAACUCACCAGGUCCAGAAAUCUAGA